rnacentral:rRNA from 1 species
AUCAUGGCUCAGGAUGAACGCUAGCUACAGGGCUUAACACAUGCAAGUCGAGGGGCAGCAUGACAAGCUUGCUUGUUUGAUAGCGACCGGCGCACGGGUGCGUAACACGUAUCCAAUCUGCCCGCGGCUCGGGGAUAGCCCAUCGAAAGAUGGAUUAAUACCCGAUGGCGUGGUUUCUCCGCAUGGAGUUUCCACUAAAGGUUUUCCGGCCGCGGAUGAGGAUGCGUAUGAUUAGGUAGUAGGCGGGGUAACGGCCCACCUAGCCUUCGAUCAUUAGGGGUUCUGAGAGGAAGGUCCCCCACACUGGAACUGAGACACGGUCCAGACUCCUACGGGAGGCAGCAGUGAGGAAUAUUGGUCAAUGGGCGAGAGCCUGAACCAGCCAAGUAGCGUGAAGGAAGACUGCCCUAUGGGUUGUAAACUUCUUUUGUUCGGGAAUAAAGUGCAGUACGCGUACUGUUUUGUAUGUACCGUUCGAAUAAGCAUCGGCUAAUUCCGUG